UACGUAGGCAGCGAGCGUUGUUCGGAGUUACUGGGCGUAAAGGGUGUGUAGGCGGUCCCUUAAGUUUGGUGUGAAAUCUCCCGGCUCAACUGGGAGGGUGCGCCGGAUACUGAGGGGCUAGAGUGCGGGAAGGGAAAGUGGAAUUCCUGGUGUAGCGGUGAAAUGCGUAGAUAUCCGAAAGAACACCGGUGGCGAAGGCGGUGGUCUGGGCCUGAACUGACGCUGAGGAGCGAAAGCCAGGGGAGCAAACGGG
rnacentral:rRNA from 1 species